CCCUUCCCAUCCCGAACAGGACCGUGAAACGACUCCACGCCGAUGAUAGUGCGGAUUGCCCGUGUGAAAGUAGGUAAUCGUCAGGC
rnacentral:rRNA from 3 species